rnacentral:rRNA from 1 species
UACGUAGGUGGCAAGCGUUGUCCGGAUUUACUGGGCGUAAAGAGCUCGUAGGCGGUUUGUCGCGUCUGCCGUGAAAGUCCGGGGCUCAACUCCGGAUCUGCGGUGGGUACGGGCAGACUAGAGUGAUGUAGGGAGACUGGAAUUCCUGGUGUAGAGGUGAAAUUCGUAGAUAUUAGGAAGAACACCAGUGGCGAAGGCGGCUCACUGGCCCGGUACUGGACGCUGACGGCGCGAAAGCGUGGGGAGCAAACAGG